rnacentral:rRNA from 1 species
UAGGCGAUGGACAACAGGUUGAUAUUCCUGUACCACCUCCUCACCAUUUGAGCAAUGGGGGGACGCAGGAGGAUAGGGUAAGCGCGGUAUUGGAUAUCCGCGUCCAAGCAGUUAGGCUGGGAAAUAGGCAAAUCCGUUUCCCAUAAGGCUGAGCUGUGAUGGCGAGCGAAAUAUAGUAGCGAAGUUCCUGAUUCCCCACUGCCAAGAAAAGCCUCUAGCGAGGUGAGAGGUGCCCGUACCGCAAACCGUCACAGGUAGGCGAGGAGAGAAUCCUAAGGUGAUCGAGAGAACUCUCGUUAAGGAACUCGGCAAAAUGACCCCGUAACUUCGGGAGAAGGGGUGCUCUGUUAGGGUGCAAGCCCGAGAGAGCCGCAGUGAAUAGGCCCAGGCGACUGUUUAGCAAAAACACAGGUCUCUGCGAAGCCGUAAGGCGAAGUAUAGGGGCUGACGCCUGCCCGGUGCUGGAAGGUUAAGAGGAGCGCUUAGCGUAAGCGAAGGUGCGAAUUGAAGCCCCAGUAAACGGCGGCCGUAACAAUAACGGUCCUAAGGUAGCGAAAUUCCUUGUCGGGUAAGUUCCGACCCGCACGAAAGGCGCAACGAUCUGGGCACUGUCUCAACGAGAGACUCGGUGAAAUUAUAGUACCUGUGAAGAUGCAGGUUACCCGCGACAGGACGGAAAGACCCCGUGGAGCUUUACUGCAGCCUGAUAUUGAAUGUUGGUACAGCUUGUACAGGAUAGGUAGGAGCCUUGGAAACCGGAGCGCCAGCUUCGGUGGAGGCAUCGGUGGGAUACUACCCUGGCUGUAUUGACCUUCUAACCCGCCGCCCUUAUCGGGCGGGGAGACAGUGUCAGGUGGGCAGUUUGACUGGGGCGGUCGCCUCCUAAAAGGUAACGGAGGCGCCCAAAGGUUCCCUCAGAAUGGUUGGAAAUCAUUCGCAGAGUGUAAAGGCACAAGGGAGCUUGACUGCGAGACCUACAAGUCGAGCAGGGACGAAAGUCGGGCUUAGUGAUCCGGUGGUUCCGCAUGGAAGGGCCAUCGCUCAACGGAUAAAAGCUACCCCGGGGAUAACAGGCUUAUCUCCCCCAAGAGUCCACAUCGACGGGGAGGUUUGGCACCUCGAUGUCGGCUCAUCGCAUCCUGGGGCCGUAGUCGGUCCCAAGGGUUGGGCUGUUCGCCCAUUAAAGCGGUACGCGAGCUGGGUUCAGAACGUCGUGAGACAGUUCGGUCCCUAUCCGUCGCGGGCGCAGGAAAUUUGAGAGGAGCUGUCCUUAGUACGAGAGGACCGGGAUGGACGCACCGCUGGUGUACCAGUUGUUCUGCCAAGGGCAUCGCUGGGUAGCUAUGUGCGGACGGGAUAAGUGCUGAAAGCAUCUAAGCAUGAAGCCCCCCUCAAGAUGAGAUUUCCCAUUCCGCAAGGAAGUAAGAUCCCUGAAAGAUGAUCAGGUUGAUAGGUCUGAGGUGGAAGUGUGGCAACACAUGGAGCUGACAGAUACUAAUCGA